GAUGAACGCUGGCGGCGUGCCUAAUACAUGCAAGUCGAGCGGACUGAUUAGAAGCUUGCUUCUAUGACGUUAGCGGCGGACGGGUGAGUAACACGUGGGCAACCUGCCUGUAAGACUGGGAUAACUUCGGGAAACCGAAGCUAAUACCGGAUAGGAUCUUCUCCUUCAUGGGAGAUGAUUGAAAGAUGGUUUCGGCUAUCACUUACAGAUGGGCCCGCGGUGCAUUAGCUAGUUGGUGAGGUAACGGCUCACCAAGGCAACGAUGCAUAGCCGACCGGAGAGGGGGAUGGGCCAAACUGGGACUGAGACACGGCCCAGACUCCUACGGGAGGCAGCAGUAGGGAAUCUUCCGCAAUGGACGAAAGUCUGACGGAGCAACGCCGCGUGAGUGAUGAAGGCUUUCGGGUCGUAAAACUCUGUUGUUAGGGAAGAACAAGUACAAGAGUAACUGCUUGUACCUUGACGGUACCUAACCAGAAAGCCACGGCUAACUACGUGCCAGCAGCCGCAGUAAGAC
rnacentral:rRNA from 1 species